UCCUCAAUGAUAGUACACCACUGUUUACGAUUUGGUAUGUUUGCUUUCAGCCAGUUCUUAGUGAUAGCCUUCUUACUCGCUGUAAGCAAAAUCUUUACUAGAUAUUGGUCGUCUUUGGAAACAUAUUCUUCCAAAUCUCCUAGGUAUAGGACCUUACAUGUAAAUGGAAUUGCAUAACCCAAGAUCUCACUUAAAGCGACGUGUACCUCUCUCCAAAAAGGCUCUAUAUUCUUACAGCUCCAAAAAAUGUCGUGUAGGGAAAGAGUGUG